rnacentral:rRNA from 1 species
UACGUAGGGUGCAAGCGUUGUCCGGAAUUAUUGGGCGUAAAGAGCUCGUAGGCGGCUUGUCGCGUCGUCCGUGAAAACCUGCAGCUUAACUGUGGGCGUGCGGUCGAUACGGGCAUGACUGGAGUUCGGCAGGGGAGACUGGAAUUCCUGGUGUAGCGGUGAAAUGCGCAGAUAUCAGGAGGAACACCGGUGGCGAAGGCGACUUCCUGGCCUGUUCUUGACGCUGAGGCGCGAAAGCUAGGGGAGCAAACGGG